rnacentral:tRNA from 1 species
CUCCCGGACUUCAAAUCCGGUGUGGGGCGCUAGUACCGUCCCGGGUGGGUUCGAUUCCCAUGCACUUCC